rnacentral:rRNA from 1 species
CUUUUUGGAGAGUUUGAUCCUGGCUCAGGACGAACGCUGGCGGCGUGCCUAAUACAUGCAAGUCGAGC